rnacentral:rRNA from 1 species
GACAGAGGUGGCGAGCGUUGUUCGGAUUCACUGGGUGUAAAGGGCGCGCAGGCGGGUUAGCAAGUCAGAGGUGAAAUCCUACAGCUUAACUGUAGAACUGCCUUUGAAACUGUUAAUCUUGAGUGCGGAAGAGAGAGACGGAAUUCCAGGUGUAGCGGUGAAAUGCGUAGAUAUCUGGAAGAACACCAGUUGCGAAGGCGGUCUCUUGGUCCGUAACUGACGCUCAGGCGCGAAAGCGUGGGGAG